UGUCUUCCACUUUCAUUUUCCAUUUUCCACUUCACUAGCUGCCAUUUCGUUAUUCCUCCUUCUUCUUCUUCUUCUACAAAAAAUGCUAUGUGCUUCUUCUCUGGGUUUUCCCUCUUCUCAUUUUGCUGUUAUUUUCUUUUUGAUUUUCGAAGUGUUGCAUGUGAGUAAUUUCUUUUACCUUAAUAAAAAAUUUAGAUUUUAACCUAAGAUUUGAAGUUGGGGUUUUAAAAAUUCAAUGUAACCAAGCAACUAAAUAGCAAAUAGGAUUUUUUGGAGCGCAAGAGGAAUAAACGGGUGAAGGAUGCAAAGAAGCUGCUUUUAUAGUGAUCUUUGAGCGGCUCAUAUUGAGAGGUUAUUGCACAACAAGGAUAAUGGAGAUCGCUCUGUUGAUGUUUGAUAAGAUGCUUUCCGAGGAUCUUGGCUCAUUGAUGUCAAUUAUACAUGGAUAUUCUGAAAAGGGCUUGUAAAGAGGUAACUAGGUUAAUCUACAUCCAUACGGAGGACUGUCUGAGCCUUGAUAUUGUUACUUUUGUUUAUCCUAGAUGCCUGUAAAGAAUUUGGUGUGUUUUGUUUAGGAAAGGAGUGCAUGAUUCCACUAAUUAGUUUUACUACUGUUAAUAUAUGUGUCAUAGGUGUAGAAAUCUUAUUAAGGAUUAUACUCUUUUAAUGGGAAACUCAAUGUCAUUUAGAAAGCCCAAAAAGUUCUCUCCUUGAGGCUUAUUUUUCCCUCUACUUUACAUGUACAUAUAAUUCAAACAUAUAUAAAAGGAUAAGGUAUUUAAUAGGAUAAAUACUUCUGUAAUCAGUGGCGUAUCUACAUGUUAUUUUUGGGUGCUCAAGCACCCAUUAUCUUUAACAAGAUUUAGUAAAUUUGUAUAGGUAUUUAUAAAAAUAUUGAGUGAGCACCCAUAACUAAACUCCUUUAUCCUCUUCUUUCAUAUUUUUUAUCAGUGAGCACCCGCGACUUUAAAAUCCUGGAUCCGCCACCGACUGUAAUGAGAUGGCAUAAAAAAGAUGUGAUGUGUAUUAAACUAUCACAUUUAACUUUUUGUAUCAUUGUACAUAGUACAGGUAACAGUCUAGGUGCACUGCUCAAGCUUGCGAACCUUUUCAAUUAUGUGUUAAAUUUGAAAUGAGAUUUUAAUCUAUAUCAUUGACCUCUUAGAUAAUAAUCUUAUGAUAUUCUUAUUUAUCUUUUUAAAAAAAAUUAGUAUGUCUCCUGAUUGCUGGUAAUUUAAAUGCAUAGUUUAAAAUUUAUAAUUGAUCCACAUGCAAUUAAAUAGUUGACUGAGGUGUCGUCAAGUGUUCAUUAUUCUAGAUUGCAGAUGAAGCAGGCACAUACUCCAGAAAUUGAGCAACCUACAUCUAUAAAUGAUAAGUGGGCGUAUGUAUAGUUCUCCAUUUAGCAAGAUUGAAGUGAAAUACUUUCGGAGUGUUUUAGAGAAAAUAUUGAAGAAAAGCAGUUCCGCAACCAGGUUUGUUUUUAUUUCCUAUCGAUUUGUUUUUUUCAGGGUCAUUGCAUCGAUAUUUUUGUUUACCUUUUUCGUGGCUUUUACUCUUCCUCUUCCAGUAAGGUUAUCCAUUUGUUGUAUACCUUUUAAGUUUAAAAGAUUGAGCUUUCAGGUUGCUUACAUUUCCCAUGCAUGACAACUAAUUUGUAUAGAGGAUUCAUGACAAUCAUGAAUUAGCAGGUGCUUCAGCAUGUUUAUGGAAUUCUAUUACACUGCCAAAACGUAAGCAAAUGUUUCUGAACGCUCAAAAUUAAUUUAGAAAAUAGUUCUUUUGAAAGAAAAUGGAAGAUAUUUCUUUUAGUACUUUUUUUGUUUUGUUCUUUUAGCACAAAACAUGCUGUAAACAGAAAUUAUCUUUUUCCUUAUCGCAACAAUGAUAUUUCCUUGGUAGAGACCAUUCUCAUGGCAAUGUAGCAUGUAUCAACUGGAACACAUUUCUCAAUCCAUAGCCAGUAGAAAUAGACAAAGGAGUGUGGAAAUGGUAAUUCAAGCGUUCAUCUAAGGUAUUGGUACUUCUUUUAAAAGAAAAUCUAUAUAUUAAGCUCAUAAUAUAUAGGAGUAUAAUUUUUCUCGGGGUAGCUUAUAGCCUAUUGUUCACUUUUAAGACUUUCCUUCAAGACCUCUAACUUUAGACUGUGAACAUCGUCAAAUCUUAGCCUUCUUGGGUUCAAAUUUUCGAGCUAAUGUAAUUUUUUAAAUAUAUAUGCCAACACAAUUUAAGUUUUAUUUUCAUCCUUUUUGAUUUACACUGAAGUAGUUAUGUCUAUAUAUAUCUUGAGACUGAAUACAAAAGACACUAAGAAAUUCUUGAGACAUUGCAAAACAGAAUGACUUAAUCGUUCAAUGGCUUGACUAUAUCCUUUCGUAGAGUGGAAAAGGUGAAUUUACUCUUUUUCAUCAAAUGAAUUGUUCCUAAGGCAAAACCAAGUGAAGUUACUUUCAAUAUGAUGUUUGAAAACAUUGAUGAGAAGUAUAUUUUUUGGCAUUUGAAUGUGUUUGUCAGUUGCCUUUUUUUACUUCAUAUUUGUUAUGAACUUGCUGAUGUGCUCAAAUAUUCCAUCCAUCAUUUUUGUUAUUAUUUAUUCUAUUGGAUUAGCUUAAGAGAUAAGUUUAUUUUUAUGAUACUUCCAGUUUUUUUUUUUGCUUGAAAAUGUGACGUUAUCUUCUUUGAGAAAUUACUUUCACAUCACAAUAGUGAGCUGUGAGCAGUAUCCCUUUAUUGGGAUGGAGAAGGGAAAAGGCCAGUGCAAUACCCUGCUUCCUAUUGAGGCUUUGACUGCACAAUUACACUCUGUAGUGGAAAGGAGGCAAAUAUUAUUCAAACUUAAACCUUUGUAGUGGAAGGAAAAUAGUAACUUUGUACAACUGCUGCUCUGGAUAGUUUAUCCUUUUGUACGAGUGAUGAACUAAAAACAUUCUGUUAUCUUUCAACUAUACACUUUUUUGUGUAUAAACUAUCAUGGCAAUGUAGCUAUAUCUUUUUUUA